GACGAACGCUGGCGGCGUGCUUAACACAUGCAAGUCGAACGGUAAGGCCCUUCGGGGUACACGAGUGGCGAACGGGUGAGUAACACGUGGGUGGUCUGCCCUGCACUUCGGGAUAAGCCUGGGAAACUGGGUCUAAUACCGGAUAGGACCACUGCCUGCAUGGGUGGUGGUGGAAAGCUUUUGCGGUGUGGGAUGGGCCCGCGGCCUAUCAGCUGGUUGGUGGGGUGAUGGCCUACCAAGGCGAGGACGGGUAGCCGGCCUGAGAGGGUGACGGGACACACUGGGACUGAGACAGCGCCCAGAAGCCUACGGGAGGCAGGAGUGGGGAAUAUUGCACAAUGGGCGCAAGCCUGAUGCAGCAACGCAGCGUGAGGGAUGAAGGCCUUCGGGUUGUAAACCUCUUUUAGUAGGGAAGAAGCGAAAGUGACGGUACCUGCAGAAAAAGCACCGGCUAACUACGUGCCAGCCGCCGCCGUAA
rnacentral:rRNA from 1 species